ensembl:lncRNA
CCCAGGAGUGGAGUUACUGGAUCUUAUGUCACUGAGGUCUCUCCUCAGAGAGCAGCAGAUCCCUCUAGCUGCAGAUGUGCAACAGGACAGAUACCAUUCACUGCUUCCGUUCUUCACUCACUCUGCCAAAGAGGUUGUGCCACCAACCCCUGGACCUGCUGCUGCCUUCUGUGCUGCUGCUGGCUACACUGCAACUCCUCUUGCUCCACAGCUUCGUCCGUGGUACAAUCCACCCACAUUUGGGUUCACAUAUGGAUGAUCUCUUGGGUUUCCUGGUAUGAUGUGCAGAGGUACUCUUUUUUGGUUAGUUAUGGAUGUCUGAUUAAUUAUAAAUUAAAGGGGAGAGAAUGCUGACAUCACUGUCAGUAAUAACUUUAAAUAUAAGUGGAUCAAACCCUUCCAUCAAAAGAUACAGAGGCUUCGGUUGGAGCACAGGGAGAGGACUGGGGUGGGCGGCGUGAACACAGCCUGCAGGGGGUUAGUGCACCACGGCUAGCCAGGAGGGAGUCUGGGAAAAAGUCUGGACCUGCCGAAGAGGCGGGAGACAUUUUCUUCCCUCUUUGUUUCCUGGUGCACAAGGAGAGGGGAUUAAGAACGCUGCUUAAAGGAGCUUCAGAGACGGGCACAAGCCAUGGCUAAAAGUGUGAACCCCAAAGAGGGGCAUGAGACACUAAGGCUGCUGCUGCUGCCACAGGAAGCCUGUGUGCAAGCACAGGUCACUAUCCACAUCCCCUUUCCGGGGAGCCUGUGCAGCCCGCCACUGCCACGGUCCCGGGAUCCAGGGACAACUUCCCCGGGAGAACGCACGGCGCGCCUCAGGCUGGUGCAAUGUCACGCCAGACUCAGCUGCCGAAGGCUCGCCCCGCACUCCAUGCCCCUCCCUUCGCCCAGCCUGAGUGAGCCAGAGUCCCCAAAGCAGCUGCUCCUUUAACCCCGUCCAGUCUGAGCGAAGAAGAGACGCCCUCUGGUGACCUACACGCAGAGGCGGGGCCAAAUCCAAAGAUGAGCACUGGAAGCUGUGAGAACAAAGAAGAGAAAGGGAAAUCUCUCCCAGCAUCCUCAGAAGCAGUGCAUUAAAGCUCCACAAUCAACUUGAUGUACCUGCAUCUGUGGAAUACUUGAAUAGACAACGAACCAUCCCAAAUUGAGGAGCUGUGUAGAUGAAAGGCUCUUGGUGCUGCAGCCAGGAGUCAGUGCUGUGCCUCUGAGGUGGGAGAGCCAACUUCAGGACACUGGUCCACAAGAGUCCUCCCAGCUCCACAUAAUAUCAAAUGGUGAAAAUCUCCCAGAGAUCUCCAUCUCAACACCAGCACCCAGCUUCACUCAACGACCAGCAAGCUACAGUGCUGGACACCCUAUGCCAAACAACUAGCAAGACAGGAACACAACCCCACCCAUUAGCAGAGAGAUUACCUAAAAUCAUAAUAUUAGUCCACAGACACCCCAAAACACACCACCAGACGUGGACCUGCCCACCAGAAAGACAAGAUCCAGCCUCAUCCACCAGAACACAGGCACUAAUCCCCUCCACCAGGAAGCCUACACAACCCACUGAACCAACCUUAGCCACCUGGGACAGACACCAAAAACAACGGGAACUACGAACCUGCAGCCUGCAAAAAGGAGACCCCAACCACAGU